AGCAGCCGCGGUAAUUCCAGCUCCAAUAGCGUAUAUUAAAGUUGUUGCAGUUAAAAAGCUCGUAGUUGAAUUUCGGAAUCGACGGAUUGGUCGCGCCUUCGGUGUGUACUGGUCUUGCCGGUUUCUCCCUUCUGACGAACCACGAUGUCAUUAAUUUGGUGUCGUGGGAAAUCAGGACUGUUACUUUGAAAAAAUUAGAGUGUUUAAAGCAGGCAUUAGCUUGAAUACAUUAGCAUGGAAUAAUGAAAUAGGACGUUUGAUCUUAUUUUGUUGGUCUCUAGGAUCGACGUAAUGAUUAAUAGGGAUAGUUGGGGGCAUUAGUAUUCAAUUGUCAGAGGUGAAAUUCUUGGAUUUAUUGAAGACUAACUACUGCGAAAGCAUUUGCCAAGGAUGUUUUCAUUAAUCAAGAACGAAAGUUAGGGGAUCGAAGACGAUCAGAUACCGUCGUAGUCUUAACCAUAAACUAUGCCGACUAGGGAUCGGAUGAUGUUAAUUUUUAAUGACUCAUUCGGCGCCUUAA
rnacentral:rRNA from 1 species